UACAGAGGUCUCAAGCGUUGUCCGGAAUCAUUGGGCGUAAAGAGCGUGUAGGCGGCCAGGUAGGUCUGCUGUGAAAACUCGAGGCUUAACCUCGAGCUGUCGGCGGAAACCAUCUGGCUAGAGUCCGGAAGAGGAGAAUGGAAUUCCCGGUGUAGCGGUGAAAUGCGCAGAUAUCGGGAAGAACACCCGUGGCGAAGGCGGUUCUCUGGGACGGUACUGACGCUGAGACGCGAAAGCGUGGGGAGCGAACAGG
rnacentral:rRNA from 1 species